rnacentral:rRNA from 1 species
GAUCCUGCCGGAAGCGACCGCAAUUGGAGUUCGAUUANNACAUGCGAGUCAGAGCACUAGCUCGGCAUACCGCUCAGUAACACGUGGGUAACCUGCCCUAUUGUUUCGAAUAACCUUGGGAAACUGAGAAUAACGCGAAAUAGUCCACUACGCCUGGAACGGUGAGUGGACAAAGAUAGGAUGGGCCUGCGGCGUAUCAGGUCGUAGGGGGUGUAACGGACCUCCUAGCCAUCGACGCGUACGGGUGUUGGGAGACAUAGCCCGGAGAUGGAUUCUGAGACACGAAUCCAGGCCCUACGGGGCGCAGCAGUUACGAAAACUUGGCAAUGCGGGAAACCGUGACCAGGGAACUCCAAGUGGCUGUCCUUUUGGGCAGUCUUUUCUUGACUCUAAAACGGUCUUGGAAUAAGGGGUGGGUAAGGACGGUGCCAGCCGCCGCGGUAAUACCGGCGCCUC